AGAUAGAGGUUGCAUAUAGCAUGAGUACCGACGGUCAGGCUGCAGAUCCGAUGAGACGCCGGGAAGGGGCUAUAUGCCGAAAGAAAGAAGAUGCUGCAGCUUUUUUCUUGGGCGUGCAGUGAAUAAUUGUACGACUGUCAUCGAAAGAUGGAGAGCUAUCCGG
rnacentral:ncRNA from 1 species